rnacentral:rRNA from 1 species
AUUGAACGCUGGCGGCAUGCUUUACACAUGCAAGUCGAACGGUAACAGGCCUUCGGGUGCUGACGAGUGGCGAACGGGUGCGUAAUGCAUCGGAACGUGCCCAGAGGUGGGGGAUAACGCAGCGAAAGCUGUGCUAAUACCGCAUGUGAUCUGAGGAUGAAAGCGGGGGACCAGGCAGCAAUGUUUGGCCUCGCGCCUUUGGAGCGGCCGAUGUCAGAUUAGGUAGUUGGUGGGGUAAAGGCCUACCAAGCCGACGAUCUGUAGCUGGUCUGAGAGGACGACCAGCCACACUGGGGCUGGGACACGGCCCAGCCUCCUACGGGAGGCAGCAGUGGGGAAUUUUGGACAAUGGGCGCAAGCCUGAUCCAGCAAUGCCGCGUGCGGGAAGAAGGCCUUCGGGUUGUAAAACGCUUUUGUACGGAACGAAAAGGCUCUGGCUAAUACCUGGGGCUGAUGACGGUACCGUAAGAAUAAGCACCGGCUAACUACGUG